CAUAAGAAUGUUAGAAAGCAGCAUAUCAGCUUUUGGACAAGCACAAAUGAACCUUUUGAUAGGUUGUUUCUAAUGCUAAGGAAGAAGAGAGAAUGCAAGAAACAGCAAUAUCCUUAACGUCUACUUAAGGCAUUAUUAUAUAUUUGUUCAUGAUAGCUUACAGGCCCAUUGAAGAGCGCAUAUAUAUAAAAAGCAAUUAAAGAAAACGCUGCCCCAGAUCCAAUUUUAGUGCAACAGAAGGAAACAAUUGGCACAUGUAUGAAAAAGCAUCUUUACUAACUCCUGAAAGGAGAGAGAGCCAAAAAUUAAAUCGGGCAACUGUGAACACACAAGGUUUUGGAUUCUGCACUGCAAGUUGACAGCAUGACCAAGGAAGAGACAAAUGACAAACAUCUCUUUCUUCAGUUUUAUGCCUGUACAAUGGCACACAUUAGGGGACAGUGACAACAUAUGCGUUUGAACAUGAUUUGGGCACUUCAAAAAGGAAAAAGAAAGAAAAGCCUGAAAAAGUUGCCCGUUGCUAGCUAACUGUUUAUUGCUCAAAAGAAAAACAUCACUAUAGUCCAUUAAAGAUAAACUAAAAGCUUAAAGUUCUAAUUUAUUUUGUAAUGCAGUGUAGCAGCCCCUCAUAUAGUUAUAAACAGCCAGCUGGCCCCAGGUAGAUGCUGCUGAAAUCUGUGAUGGCACAGGCACCUAGUACGGGAACUUCAAUGUGAUAUUUUUCUCUUUCAUGUUCUCUCCAAUGAAACAAAGCGCCGAUCGUGGUAAGACUGACCCCAUUUGGAAUUCCAGAACUGUCGUCUACAAAUCUAGCUUAGCUUAAUCUUAAUUUUAGCGUCCCUUUACAUGUUUUCAUUUUGAGGGCAACUAUAGCUAUUUUAUUCAUAAGAUGACAACAAGCUUGCCUCAUCACAACGACAUAGUCAUUGUCAUCAGCCCACUUUGUCCAUUACAGGACAAAGACCUCUCCCAGUGAUCUCCAGUUACCUUUGCCUCAUGUCAGCUAACUAUAUCCUGUGGCUGUAAACUUCCUAGUCUCAUCACACUAUCUCGUCCCCUUGUUUCCUUUUCCAUGGCACCCAUUCUGUUGCUCUGGUAUAUAACAUUGGCUAUCUGUUCUAUGCAGUACUUAAGCUGCCAAAUCCCACUACUUCCUCUUAAUCUCGGCUAGAAUAUCAGCUGCCCAUGUUUGCUCUCUAAAUCAUACCACCAUACCCUCAUUAUUCCCAGGCCAGCCUAACACAGCCAUUGACAGUGCCGAUGAAAGCACAUGAGAAGCAGGAACCACUGAAUCAGUUGCAUUUGUGAUAUGCAUAACGAGCGCUUGUCCUAUUGUCAGGAACAUGUUGACAAGGACUCAACAUCAAUGCGUGCUGUGGAAAUGUUUCACAAAUGGAGAUCUCUGGCAGAAAUACCAGAGACCAGACUUUAUCUUCUUUGAAGACUGGGCCAACCUGAACGGCUGUAAAGUCCGAGACAUGCUGCUCUCCCUCUGGGAAUUUGCACAUAAGGUGGGCAUUUACCGUUGCAUGUGAGCGCCUUCCCUGAACCCCCCCACCCUUUUGAGGCUGAAGAGCCAACCCAUUCCUAACAAAGAUGUUUCAUUCAUUCAUUCCCACUUCCAUCAAUAGUUGAGCAAUCUUUGGCUGUUUCUCAAGUUGUUUUGUUAUCCUGCAGGUUUGCACUUGCAGUUGGGGCCAACUGCAACAAAAUCUCACUUUGGUGAAGUUUAUUUCAAUGAGUAGUACAUACUAUUGAAGCAAUCCUGGCAAUUCUGCAGGCCUGGGAAUCAUCAAAUUUUCUUGUUGACAGCCUAAUAAAUAACAUCCACCAGAUGAUGCAUGCAGCUGGGUGUUAGCAGAAAUGAUGAAAAUCCCAAACCAUGGCCUCCUAUGUUUUCAGAAGAUUGUGAGUGCCACCUAAUCUCGGAGAUGAUGCUGAGAAGCCAUGCUGGUUCACAGUGUUCCGGGUUCUACAUCAUUUCUGGUCAACACUGCAGUUCGAAGUGGCAGGAAAACAAAUGGGCUUGAAUGACAAAGAAUAAUGUUAGUCAAGAUGUGACGACACUGUGCAGGCAGUGUGGCAAUGUUCGACAACGAUUGGCGAUCCUGCCUACUUCAACGGGCGUGUUUACAACUAGUAUGCGUGUGCCGCACCACUCUCAUCUGUCGAUGAGCUGACUCACAUGCAGUCUUAAUCAAGGUUUUCUCACUUGGCAUGAAUUGUGAAUUGAAUUAGUGGAACAUUUCAGUAAGCUGCAAUACCAUGAGGGGGCUUCAAUUCAUGAUGAUUGCAGCGCAUGACACCAGGUUAGUACACAGAACUGCCCUAAGAAAAACUCUUGCUUGGGCUAGUUGAUGCAUGCUUGCACUGGCGCUGGUCCUGUCAUUUGUGUUCUUCUUCUGUCCUGGUCUAUUACACCUUGCUCUUUACACAUUCAUGCCCUAAGAAGCCAGCCAAUUACAGUGGAAGGAGAGUCGGAUACUAGCCAAGUACUUCAGAACAAGUCUGUUGUAUGCGACACGUUUCACAUCCAAGCUGCGGAAUGUCACCACCAUCAUGUGACAGCAAAGCACCACUGCCAGUAGUAAUCAAAAUCAGAACUGGCAUAUAAAAUAAACCUUACUUGAAAUGCUAGAACCAGACACAACUUUAACAAUUUACAAUUUAAUCUCUUCUCACGCUGCGCACGUUGAUAGGCAGUCUGCUGGGCUAAUCCUGAUGGCUGUUACACAAUAUAUUUGGCACAUGUAGAUGAAGGCCAGAUUAAGCAAAUUGAGUGGAGAUCUCGUAGUAGUUAUAAAAUAAUGAACCUCAUUUCAAAUUUACUGCACACCAGCAUCUUGAAGCAUGCAUGAAGACAUGUCCUAAUACAUACUACGCUUGCCUUUUAACAUGCUGGUGGAAGCAACUUUAUUUUGAAUAUGACCUUGAACAAUGAAAUAAAUAAAUAACAGAGCCGUCUUUAUAUAAUUCGCAACCCUCUGCAUGAACAUUUUAGGCAUAAAAUUACAUUUCUGUCACUUAUUUUGAUGCAUAACAGCAAUUAAGUGAGAGGUUUCAGGGAGCACUGAUACUUAUUUUCACUGUUAUAUAAAGAUUAAUGCUCCUGUACAUGUCAAAGUUAAUAUUUGCACUUAUGUCAAGCACAAAUUAACUAUGUCCAACUAUGUUAGUUACUCAUAUACAAUGGCUUACAACCUCUA